rnacentral:rRNA from 1 species
AAAGCUCAAAUUUUGAAUCUGGCGGUCUUUUCGGCCGUCCGAGUUGUAAUCUAGAGAAGCGUCUUCCGCGCUGGACCGUGUAUAAGUUUCCUGGAACGGAACGUCGUAGAGGGUGAGAAUCCCGUCUUUGACACGGACUCCCAGUGCUGUGUGAUGCGCUUUCAACGAGUCGAGUUGUUUGGGAAUGCAGCUCAAAUAGGGUGGUAAAUUCCAUCUAAAGCUAAAUACAGGCGAGAGACCGAUAGCGAA